ACCUGAACGAAUGGUUGAUCUUCGCUAGUUAUGCAACCCAUCACUGUACAGAUGCAAUCAGAGUCAACGACCUCAGCAUAGCAAAUGGGUCAAAAGUUACUAGCAGGUCAAAUACAAAACUUGCAAGCUUUGUCUUCAUCAUUCAAGCAUCAGGACAGCAGGUCAUUCUGCCAGCUUACGACCCAACUCCCGACCAAACUCAAACUAUUCAGGAAUUGCUGGGCAAUGCUACAUUGCCUACCCAUUGUAUCAUCAAGACCUCUUCAUAGCUGUGUCUCUCUGCCCAUGGACCUACUACUCUGACAGAGUAUAAGGUCCACGCUCUGCCAUACAUGUACCUCUUAACCCUAAAAAGACUGGGGCCGUAAAAUUUUAUUUCUAGCAAAAAAAUUAAUCUUUGUGUCAUUACCUUUACUUUUUCUUGAUAAAAACAAAUAGUACCUCUUACCCCUAAAAAGACUGGGGCCGUAAAAUUCUGUUUCUAGACAAAGUUCAUCUUUGAAUUAUUACCUUUACUUUUACUUUAUAAAAACAAAUAACUACGUGUUUAUGAUCGGAAAAAUUGUCAACAAUUUCCAUUGAAAAACAAUUUAAAAAAAAACAUGGUAGAAUUACAUGAGAAACUUUAAACAAUAAAAUAAAAAAAAUUCGUGUAUCCAAACAGAAACCCUUAGAGGGCUUUAAGGGCUUAAUUUACAGCCAAAUUUUAAUUCCAUGCAUAAGUUAGCACAAUCUUGAAUUAUUUUGGAAGAACCAAAUAUGCAGUUCUGUAGAUUGCAUUGUGGUUGAUGUGGACAUUUCUUUUUGUCAUGAUCACACCAUUAUGAGCCAAAAGGAUUGUUUGAAAACCUUAAAAAAUACCCCAGUCUUAUUAGGGUUAACCAUUUUGGUAAGAGAAGGCCCUUUAGCAAUUGGGUGGAUGAUGUCUACUGCUAUCGCUCGCUGGUUGGAGAUGCCCUGAGAAGAGUGGAGGUAGCCUAAAUUAAGACCAGGAAUCUUAUGAACAUCCUUCAUUCCCCAGAAGACUACCUUGAGGAACUGCAGCAGAUCAUCAAGAGCUACUCAGACCUUGAUCCUGCUCCACCACCUAUGGUAGCUCCAGCUCGUGGUUAUUAUGCAGAGAUGAAGAAUCGUUUAUUCCUCUAGCUACCCAGCCGUCCCGCUCCACUACCACCAGUUGGAAGUCUAGCUCCAGUUCCUGGGUAUUAUGCAGAGAGGGAGACUUGUGAAAAGCAGAGAUGAUGUCAUAGAAGAAGCAGAGGAACUGCAGGUCAUGUGACUCAGUAUACAACAUGGACACCCCCCCCCCUAUCUGGUGAGAGAGAUGGUCGACCAAAGACAAGGACAGACUGAUCAUGUGGGUGGCCCAGCACAGCAACAUGUGAUACAUGGAAACAGUGCCUGAUGGAAGCAGAGAUUGUAGAUAUUCUUAGAUAUUAAAAUUGAUUGGCUUAUAGUUCAUUCCUG